GCCAGCCAGCCAUGCAAACAUAGAGCAGAGACACUCACAAUAAGUCAACUGGUGACACUCUUACUGGUCAGAAUCUUUCUCUGUGUGCCAUGUUCAUCACUCCUUUCUGUCUCUUUAUCGUUCUUUGUUAUUAUUGACAAGGGUUUUCUCCUCAGGAAAGUGAUGAAGAUGCCAGAAAAACAAAUGAGCUGAGAGUAGAAACUUCAACAAUAAGCCAUGUAAGACAAAGUGUUGUUUUCUGUCUCUCUCAAAUUACAGUCUCUAAAGCCUUGUUCCUGUCCCAGACUCAAUGCUCCCCUUCUAGUCUCUUUUUUAAAUGAAUAUUGGGCAUGUGUGUUCUUCCAAGGAUAGUGAUGAAGAUGACAGCCAAACAGAAGAGCAGAGAGCAGAAACUUUUAAUGAAGCACAGGUGAGACGAAACUACAGCCAUUACUCUUUUUCUGUCUCUGAAACUACACAACCUUCAGUCUUAUCUCUUCUUUUUCUGAUGUUUUUGAUGACUAAUGGACUUUUGUUCUUCCUCUAUGGUCCAUCAUGUUCACAAAAGAGCUCUCAGAGCAAUGAUGACACUGGCAGCCAAACAGAAGUGCAAAGAGCAGACCUUUCCACAUUGGAACAGAAAGAACUUCAGCAUAUUGCUCACCUGUGGAACACCCACAUCAUUCAGAGAAGCAGAAAUGCAGUUGCACCUAGUGGCUGGCCUCACAUGAUGUACAUGCUUCCUCAGCUUUUUGGGGAAAGGACCAUCUCAAACAUGCAUCUGUGUAAGCAGUACAAACAUGCAGAGCACAAUGCAUACAACGAGGACCUUACCCAUGUGAUGAGACUGCCAUCCACUGGAGGAUAAGGUGAACACAGACAACUUCCUUCAUCUCCCAUCCACAAUUGAACUGUAUCUAUUUUUAAGAACUUGCAUACGUAAAGAUUAGUGAAAAAAGCUAUCCUGGCUCGUAAAGCACCACCUGCAUUAAUUUUUUUUUAUUCAUAUUGUCCACAGCCCCCCCACCAGCAUCCCGGGCUGACAGGAGACUCCCACGCCAAACCCAACGGGAGAGCAGGCGCAGGGUGAAGGUGGAGGAGGGGGGGAGGACGAGACAGGGGACAGAGAGCAAGAGGAAAGAGUGGCAGAGAAACAUGCAGGCCCCCAGCCCCAAGGGCCACCCAGACGUGCACGGAGGAGGCAGGAGAGUAACACCAAACCACCCAGGGACCACGAGAGCACCCGAAAGGGACGCACGCCCGCGCAGAGGCACCCAACACACCCCAGCAAGCCACCCAGGUCAAGGCCACCCCACAAGCCCAUGGAGGUCCAGGACUACAGUUAGAUCAGUGUGUUAGUAAAGAGUGGUGCUGGCAGUCGCUUGCAGGCUAGAUCAUCAGGCUAAAAACGAAAAAUCAAGAUUCAAUGCAAUUAGACCUGUAUAUAUUGUUGAAACAACAACAAAAAGAGGCUUUAAAACUGUAAGUCUGUACCGUACUACACAAUGUUUUCAUCUGGUGGCUCUGUUUAGGGAAAAAGAACUACGCUUGUCACGCUAUUGUCGUCAGGUCCGCUCAUCGUUUGAGUGGUUUGUGUGUUUGUCCCGCUCCGCUCAGCCACCAGAACUCAAUCGUCUGGUGAGCACUUCCAGAUUAAUCACCUUUAUGAAAAAUACAAGGAGAUUAAGAUAGAUUCCAGGCUAGCCCACUCAUGUCUUUUGCACCAAGGCGAGGAAAAUUUAUUUGUAUAGCGCAUUUCAUACACAAGGCAACUCAAUGUGCUUUACAUGAUCAAAAAGUGCAACAGGAAACAUUCAACAGCUUAAAAUCAAUAAGAACAUUAAAGUCGGCAAAAAAUAAAAAUAAUCAAUAAACACA
rnacentral:lncRNA from 1 species